AGGCAUAACAGUAGACCUUACCUGACCCUGCCCAUGGUCAGGCAGGGGGGACAGUGUAUGCAAGAGUGAUGUGGAGUUCAUGCCAUCUCUAGUCAGCUUCAUAAGUGGCUGAAUAAUUUGCGGUACUCCUACAUUC
rnacentral:snoRNA from 10 species